rnacentral:lncRNA from 1 species
AGUACGUUUAUGGUUUUCGCUUUUUGUAAAUCGUGCAGACCCGUGAUAGGUGGCACCUCGAUAAACGGUACGGGCCCGUGAUAGGCAGUACGUUUAUGGUUUUCGCUUUUUGUAAAUCGUGCAGACCCGUGAUAGGUGGCACCUCGGUAAACGAUACGGGCCCGUGAUAGGCAGUACGUUUAUGGUUUUCGCUUUUUGUAAAUCGUGCAGACCCGUGAUAGGUGGC